GACGAACCGUACAAACGUUAUUCGGAAUCACUGGGCUUAAAGGGUGCGUAGGCGGCUUUGCAAGUCGGGUGUGAAAGCCCUCGGCUCAACCGAGGAAUUGCGCCCGAAACUGCCGAGCUUGAGGGACACAGAGGUAAGCGGAACUAAGGGUGGAGCGGUGAAAUGCGUUGAUAUCCUUAGGAACACCAGAAGCGAAGGCGGCUUACUGGGUGUCUUCUGACGCUGAGGCACGAAAGCCAGGGGAGCGAACGGG
rnacentral:rRNA from 1 species